GGGGGAUGAGGGCUGGAAGGCGCCCUGUCCGCACCUCGCUUUGGCGGCGGAUCUCUCCCGCUGCCCGUGCCCUGGGUCCCAGGAAGCGCCCUCGCUGUGUGACGCUAAAUAAGUGUGCACACCUCUCUGAGCCUUAGGGACUUCUAGCAAAAUGGUGGAGCUGGUACCCGGCUGUACGGCAAAUUGGGAGCGGCGUAGGGUAGCUCUUAAGAGCGAGGACUCUGUGGAGUCCUUACUCCGCCGCCAGAUAACUUCCGUAAACUAAGGAUAAUAAUAGUGCCACCUCAUAGGUUUGUUAAGAUUAAGUGAGUUAAUAUUUAUAAAGUGUUUAGAACAGUGUCUGUUUCGUGCUAAGUGCUAUUUAAGUAUUUGUUAGACUAACUACAGGAGGUCUCGCUCCGAGAUUUUCUCCUAACCCCCGUCCACCCCCAACAUUCCUGUUUGCCAGCCAAGCCUUGCUUUAGCACGGGCUGGGCCCUCUGCCUGAAAAUCCAUACCCACCUCUUCUCUGGGCUUUCGCAUCAUUCCUUUGUGAAGUCUUCUCUACUCCUGACAGGACAUGUGAGUCUAUGGCAACAGGCCCCACCUCCUCUCCCAGAUGGCUCAGGCCUUGCCUGCCCAGCUCUCAGGCUGUCCCCAUGGUGCCUCUGCCAGGCAGGUCCUGGUGCCCAGGGGAGGGGUGAGCUGUGCAGCCUCCACCUCACCCCCCAGCCCACAAAGAAGCCAACAGCCUUCGGUGCCACGUGCCAGACACAGGAUGAAGCCGUAGGCAGAUGAGAGCCUCUCGUGGAAUUGCCAGCUGAGUGGGUAAACAAACAACAAUGGGACAACGGUAAUACAAUGUGACUAUUGCCACCAUGGAGUUUUGCUCAGGGUGCCAAAAACCCAGGGAGGAACCAAAGGAAGGCUGAUUCUUGGUGAAGGAACAGGAACUUAAAGAGAGUGUAGCAUACAGUGGGAACAGCAAGCAUCAAGGCAGUGAAAGAUGGUUUGCAAUGGCUAGAGCACAAGGAAGUCUCAAGGGACAGAGGGAGUGGAGCCUGGAGAGGUGAGAGGGGUGGUCCAUGGAGGGCCUUGAAUGCUGGGCUAAGGAACUAGAACUUUCCACCAUAGGCAAUGGGGAGCCAUUGGAGGAUUGUGAGCUGGGGAGGGACAUGGUCAGAUUUGUGUCUUAGAAUGACAACGUGUGGCAGCUAGUUUGGGGGGAAUGGGCUGGAGCAGGAAAGGCCAGGCAGAGCAGCCAGGAGAGGACGAGACAUAGUCCAGGUGGGAGAAGCCAAGGCCUAACUAGGGCAGGACAGGUGGGUGGCUCAGCAGGUGUGAGCACCUCUGGGCAUAAGAACCGAGGUCAGCGUGGGGCAGACAGGCUGCAGAGCUGGCCCCAUCAGGGCGACUGGGCGUUUUCAGGGCUUGAGGUCAAAGACAGGCUGAGGCAGGCAGGAGCUCUAGGAACUCUUGGCCUUUGGGCUGGGGUAGGCUCAAGGUCAGCAGAUGCAGCUGGGUCUGGGUCUAGAGACUUGGGAGGUCCACAGCAGGACUCCAGCCUGCAUGCAGGAAUCAGGGCAAAGUCCAGCCCCGGAAAAGAGUUCCCAGGAGCCAGGCAGGGUGUCAGAGCCCUGGUCCUGAAGGAAGAGGCUACAAGGCAAAGAGCAGAGGACUCCUGCCUCCAGUUCCUUUAUGUCAUGAACCACUUCCCUUCUAUGGCUACCUGUGAAGAUGGGCUGCGGAGGCACCUGGGGCUACUUUCUUGCUCAUGCUUCGUCCGUCUUCAGAUGAGGCUCCCCUCAGACUCAUCUUGAGUCCAAUGACCAUCUGCCCCCAUCCUGGGGAACCGAAGUCUGCAUGGGGUCUGACCUGCCCCUGGCUCCAAGCUCUGGUGAGGAUGGACUCGGGCAUGGCUCCACCCGCAAAGCAUACAGUUGGAAUGCCACAUUGACCGCCAGGAAGUUUCUUGUAAAGAUAUAUACACUUACAUUACAAUCCAGCAGUCCCACUGGUAGGUAUUUACCCAACAUGGAGGAGAGAGUAUGUUCACCCAAAGACUUGUAGGUAAAAGGCCAUAACAGCUCUAUUUGUAAUAGCCGAAGACUGGAAACGAUCUACAUACUCACUGACAGGUGACUAAAGAAACAAAUUAUACAAUGGGGCACUACUCAGCAACGAAAAAGCAUGAGCUAGUAAUGCAUGCAGCAACAUGGACAAAUGUCAAAGCCAGUUGAAUGAAAGAAGCCAGAAAAGAGAGAGAGCAUACAUAAUGCGUGUGAUUCCAUUUUUAUGAAAUUCUCGGAAAUGCAAACUAAUCUGUGUUGACAGAAAGCAGACCCAUGGUUAUCUGGGAUGGAGGGUGGCGGAGGGAUGACAAGGAGGAUGACCAAGGGGAUGAAGACCUUUCGGAGGUGAUAGAUAAUGUGCAUUGUCUUGGUGGUGGCGAGAGUUUCAAGUGCGUAUACAUGUGUCAAAACUUGUCAGAUUGUAUCAUUUAAGCAUGUGCUGUUUCUUGUACAUCGGUUAUACCUCA